AAAAAGAGUUGGCCUGCAGUCCAGUUCUUUCAUUUUAAUCACAGCAAAUUAUACACUAUGGUGGCCAGAUGGUUUGGUUCCACUUUAUACAGCUGGUUGAAAAAAACCAGAAUUAAUUAUCAUAAAAUUGAGAAGUUUUCAGCUACUUAAAAGUGUACUAAAUAAAAACUGCCCAUUAAGGACAUUUUCUGCUACUUCUUCUAGUGGAAUGGCGUGCACUGAAGUCAUGUAAGCACACUCUGUAUGUAUGAUUCUAAUUUUUCUCCAUAAAAGCCCUGACCGAGCUCCAAGUUAAAGCCUUGAGGCAUUUGAAGGCAUUGGUUUCAUUUGUUGCACAGUUUCAGUGUCCUGAAAUAUCCCCAGUAUGAGGGGAUAGCUGCAUUACAAGGUUCUUAGUAAGAUGCCCUGACUGAGUGACCAAGACAUGGCUUUCCUGGUAUUGGUGCUUUGGAAAUCUUCAUCACUGAUGUGUAUUUGUUUUUAUUGUCAUGGAACUUCUCAGAGAUCUGCUGCUGCUUUUUUCCAGACAUGGGCUAUGAAGAGAACAGAUUUCCUGCACAUCUGGAGGAGAUCUUAUGUUUAUAGCUGGGGAACUGGCAGUGUCUGAUUGUAUUCACUCAGAAUGCAGAGUUCUAGUUUCAUGGGAAACCAUGGUGACCCUGACUGGCAUUGUCACAAUUUUUCCAGUGAGUUUUUUAUGGGAAGUGAUUGGUUUCUCCUGUUUUUCCAUGCAGACUGGUUCUGCUUUUGUCCCCAUCCUCAGCUGCACUGGAAUUGUGAUUGAAGCAAUGUCCAGGGCGCUGGUGGGGGGCUGCAGAGUGGCCUUGGUGAGGAGUGGUGGGGACUGCCCCAUGCUGAGCACAGCCAUUUCAGCUCAUUCCACAGGACUGACCACAAGGUACAGCUGAACCCUGCAGCCACAGUGGAAAAGUCUGUGUGAGAAAGAGCAAAAUGCAGCCUAGGCAGUGAGGAGUGAAGGGAGGGUGUGAAAAACAGCGCUGCAGACACCGAGGUCAGAGGAGGAGAAGAUAUUCCAGGUGUCCAAGCAGAGCUUCUCCCUGCAGGAGAUCAUCACACUGGAGCAGGUAUCCACACUGCAGUCUGUGGAAAGGACCACACCUUGGCAGGUGAAUGUGCCCUGAAGGAGCCAUGGUCCAUGAACAGCCCAUGCUGGAGCAGGUUGAUCCCUGAAGUGCUGUAGCCCAUGGGAAGGAAUCACCCUGCAGAAAAGAAUGCAGAGGAAGGAAAGGCAAAGAAGAGCUUUUAUGGACUUACCACAGCCCCCAUUCCCUGCACUGCUUGGAAGGAGGGAGUAGAGGAGUCAGGAAUGAGAGAGCAAAGUUGAGCAUGCCAAAAAGAGGUACUGUGGGGAAGGUCUUUCUUUCUUUUUGUCUUUUUUAGGUUGGUACUCUGUUUUAAUGGAGAAUAAACUAAAUUAAUUUUCCCCAAAUCAAGUCUUUUCCUCAUGAGAGUAAUUGGUAAGCAAGCUCCCUCUCUUUAAUUUGACCCUUGAGCUUUUUCAUCCCCUGUCCUGCUGAGGAGGUGGAAUGAGAGCAGUUGGGUGGGCAGCUGGCAGCUGGCUUCAAACAACCCACCACAAUCACAACAGAAAUUGUUACACUUGAGGAGCCAGGCUGCUACUCAAGCUACUCAGCUUGAUUAUUUUUACCACUCCAAGUUGCAUGUGCUUCGUUGCCUUGUUUUGCCUCUGUAGACAAAUUGCCACCCAACAGUUUCUACAACUGUGCAGAGGUACAACGAAUUCAGAAGACAGCACUACAGCACCGCUCAGAGAAGCUGCAGCUCACUCUGCUCCCAUUAAUAAGUUGCUUUCCUGCAGCUUCUGCAAACUGCUAAUUUGAUUUAGAAUUAAAAGCCUUCAGAUAUCUUUAAGGUGGAAAGUAAAGAUCAGAUAUUUGCAUGAAAAGUUUGAAUUGCUUCCCCAUCAAGGACCCAGGAAUAUUUUAUGGACACCUUUCCAUAUUUUCUCCUAUGCUGACUUAAAAAAAUGUUUACUACCUGUGUGUGCUUACUGGGAGCUUAUGUUACUUGGAGAUGCCAGUAGCUGCUUGUCCAAAGUGCAUAUUCACAUUUUUGGAGGUUUUUAACAGAAAAAAAACUUCAGGCUUUUAAACUUUUCCAGGACCUGGUCUGAAGUAUUAAGCAGCCUUUUACCCUUCUUCUUUUGAGUUUCCUUUCAGAUCAAAUAAUAUGAAAGUUGUAAUAGUAUUAGAGGACAUAUUUAUCUAUUGUCCUGGCCUUUUACUCCAGUACUGCAGACUUAUUUUUAAAUACUCCAAGGUCACCUUUAAGGCAUAAGAGGACAAAUCAACUGUUGUUAUUUACCUGCUGAUGAUAGAGUUAAUUUGCUCAGAUAGGUCUUCAAUACCCUCCUGAAUUUAAUUACUGUUCUCUCCUUUCUCUAUUAGCUUUUGUUCAGUUGUUUCUUCUUCACAAAAAUUUUUUACUCCUUUUAUACACACACAAUACCUUGUGAAUUUAAAUACUAAUUAUUUUUCUUUUUAAAUAAGAUUCCUCCUACACAAUUGAAAUCAUGCUAUGUCCAGGUAAAAGAUCUUCUUUAAGGACUACUGAAUAGGUGUUACAAUGCUUUGUGGAUGUUCUUACCAAGAAAAACAACAUGAUUUUAUUUAUAUUCUUUAAUUUAUUAACAAAAGUAUGUUUAAUACUUCAAAGAGGUUUCUUAAAUUAUGUGAAGUAGACAAACAGGUCAAGCCCAAUUCAGAAAACCUGAGCAUGGCUUUACCUUUCAGUUAUUGUUGCAAAAUAUUUUGGCAGUCGAAACUAGCAAAAGAUUAAUGAAGACAGAAUGUAUUUCACAUAAUUGUUUUUUUGUGGGUUUUUUGAGGGAGGAGUAAGUGCAUUAAUUUUUUUGCUAACAGCCUGGAAAAUUGGUCUCAAACUCAUUAAUGCAAAAGCAAGGAUUAAUUUUGAGUCAUUCUUCAGACUGAGAGGAAUUGCUCUGUAUAUCUUAUUCUUUAUACCAAUCAUAUCAACAUGGUGAUUUUUAAGAAUAGUGAUAGAAGGAAAACCAGUCUAUUGAAGGGUCUUAGUCCAUCUCCUGAGAGGAACCUCCUGCUCCUUGUGUGCCACAAGGAGGUCCCAGAGAGUGAGCAGCGUUCUCAGGGCCUGGAGAGCACCGCUGGAGAUUGCUGACAAUAAAGGCAAAGGGAUGGGCUCUCCUUUGGUCACCAACAGCUGGAUUAUUGCAGAACACAGCCACAAACGAGUUCAGGGAUGAGAACACAACUCAGGCUCAGGGCACAGGGUUAAAUGAGAGCAAAAGGGGCGGAUCUGAGGGUCGAGGUCCAACAGGAACAAAGGAAAGUGGUGCAGGGGAAUGGCUAAAGGCCAAGGGGAUAACAGGGGUGGAACAAUGCAGCAAAACAGAGCCAAUGGGGGCUAAGGGAAGGAAGAACUUUCUAGGAAGGGUACAUGAAUGGUAAAUGGGGUCUGAACAAGGGUGACAUCAAUCCCCACACACUGUCAGAGCACCAGAACCCAAAAGGCACCAACAUGUGGCUGCAAAAGCCCCUUGGGAGCCUUUUCUUACUCCAUUCUAGAGGGGCAUCUCUCCCCUUCUGCCUCCCCGCUCCAGGGCUGAGGUAUGACCACCCUGCUGGCACACCCCUGGCCUCCACACCAGCCUGGUUUCACAAACAGAAUAUUAAACUCCCACUUAUUAAGCUAAAGAGCACUUUUCAUUAAAUUAAACCUUCAGACAGCUUUGGAACCCCAAUCUGUUUUUUUCUCCUUUGUUUCUUUUCAAAUUGUGAUUACAAGCCUGAGUCAAAUUUUUCAGAGCUUAGAGUUCAAGUGAUUUACUCUUAAUAGUGAAUGCUGAUAUUAUGACCUGUUCCAUGAUGAUGAAAACACUUUGAAAAUGCAAAAAAGAGGUCUGCAAUAGAUCAGCAAAAAUGUCUGGAAACAAUGGUCUUCGCUUUCUAAACUCUAGCAGAUUUCCUUGCCAUUAUUUUAAUUGCAUGUGCUGAGUAAGCACGUGCAUUCUUCCUCUAAAUACACUGGAGUUGUGCCUUCUUACUCAUAGAGUGCAGCUUCUCACUCUAAGUUCUCUAAUGUGUAUUUUUAUCAGUUUUUCAGACUAAAACACAAAGCAGUACUCUUUGUCAAUACACAGUUUAAAAACACUUGAAUAAAUGUUGUGCCUGCUGGUAUUUUUUCAUAUCUUAAAAGUUUGUCAAGAAUUACAGCAGCCAAGAGCUACCUUGAGAUUGCUGUGGCAGCGUGAGACAGCUUUAGAGCACAAUCAGAGCUGCAUAACACAGUGGUGAUGAAAUUCCUCUUGAGAAAUAUAAACUAUAAAAUGUAGAAAGACCUUCAUGCAUCUUUCUUUUAAAUUAAAUUCCAUGCUGGUUUUAUUUUUGUGCAUUGCCUCACAGGACAUAAUAUCAAAUGCUGAAAAUAAGAUAAAUAGAUAUUAUUUUCCUUUUUGUUUUCUUUGUCCUAUCCCAUUAUUAUACCUUUCUCUCAACUUCUCAGGAUCCUUCUGACAGAAAAAUACAGGAGUAACAAAAGUUACCAGGUUUUUUCAGUCUGAACGCACUAACGUAAGAAACUGGCUUUGGGGCUGGCCAAAGGUUCUGGAUGUGGUACAAAGUAAGGUACUGGAAUCACACAAGUUCAUUCUACAUCAGUUGCUGCUGCCCAGGCAUGAACCAUGGAUGGACCUUACAGGCCACUCUUUGCAUGUCCUCUGUUAGGGAUUAUUAACCAUAGUGAGUUACUUAUUAGCUUGGUAGCUUUUAAUUCUCUACAUGCUGAUGAAUGUUUACAGGAGUUCUCAGUAGUUCUCAUUGGAAAUAUAUUCUGAAGGGAUUUUCAGGUUGCCUAUAUUCAGGAUAUAAAAUGAAACAGUCUGUUUAGAUUUAAAAGAUCUCAUACUGUUUAAAAAUGAAAGAGGAAAAUUCUAUCCAUCGCCAUAUCCACAAAACAGACUAUGCUUGCAAACUGCAGCAAAGCUGCCAACUGCAAACAUAGAUUUUCAAGGAAAAUUUAGUACUCUGAGGGGAAAGAUGGCAAAAUUACUGAAAUCCCUUCACAGGGUAAAUUACAUAAAAUUAUAUUUAAUUUUUAAGUAUUUCUUGCUAUUUAACAAAAGAAGCAAAAUGUGGCUGGUUCUGGGCUUCCAGAGCUAGUAGCCAUUAAGCUCUAAUAGCUCAGCUAUUAAGCAGAAAUGCACACAGAUAGCACAGAUAUCCAUCUUUGGAUUUUUCAUGGGGAGACAUCCCCUGCUGCACUGGGCUCGAGCAUGCUCGUGUCUCCCACUGAGUCCCUCUGGUUCAUGAUGCUUUGUGUGCCAUGAAUUCCUCUGCCUGUUCACAUUGCACUAAUCUUCCCACUUAGAUAAUCCCAGACUCUAUGCCAGGGAGGGACUGACAGAUUACAUGCAAUUAUUUCUAUCAAAUUAAAUUGUGACUUACUAAAUGUCAGAAUUUUUUUUGAGGUGGUGUAAGCAUGUUAUAGAUGUUCUUCAAAUUGAGUUUAUGAAAUCGCUUACCAAAUAUUAUUUAAAUUGUUUCAUUAAUUCCUUUUGGUGAAUUUUAUUAUAUUUACUAUCCUUCUGAAGAAGAAAUAAGUUUUAUUUGUCCUAUCUCUUUUUCCUACUUAGGUAGAGGAAAGGGGAUGGUUGGUUUUUUUUGUGUUGUUGUUGCUGUUGUUGUUUUUUAUAUAGAGUAGUGUGUGUUGUGUAAGAGUCCCAGAAAGAUUAUGGUGUCACCUUAAUACUUUAUAAAGGGCUUUAGUAGCAUUAGAAUAUUACUUAAGUAACCUUAACAACAAUUCAGAACCCACUUACAAAACUAAUUUUAAAAGGCAUCUAAUGAAGUUUGAGAACCACAAGAAAUUGUUAUUAGUUAUAAAAAGAGAAGAGGAAGAAUUAAAGCUUAAUUUCCAUCUAGUCAUCUCCUCAGUGUAGGCUAUCACAACAAUUUGUUCUCUUAUUUGUUGAUAUCAGUAGAACCUUGUCCCUUUAUGCUUCAUGACUUGGUAGCAGACAGAUUUCUGCAUAAAUAUUUUUGUCAUGUAAGAAAACAGAUAUGGGACCUAAAACAAUAACAAGGCACUAAUUUACAGGUUAAUUAUUGUGUAUUCAGAGUUGCAUAUUUUCACAAGCAAGCACACUGAGAAGGUUACAAACAAAUUAAAUCAUAAAAUGUCCUAAUAAAGAAGCAUUAAAACUGUGUGAAAAAAUUAUAGGAAGAUGGCAAUAGAAACUGUAGAGAAAAUAUAAUUUACUUGAAUGCUUUUAUAAGAAAUAUGUAAUUUACAAAUAAACCAUGUUUGCCUGCAUUGUACCCAGACAUACAUCUAAGACAGGACCUUCAGAGCACCGUAUUUUUUCCAAAAUGAUUGAUCUUCAGUCAGUCAGUCUGACCACCAGUUGGAUAAAGAAGGACAAUAACAACAGAGUUCAGAGAGUCUUCCAUGCCAUAUGAAAGAAAUAUGCACAUUUUCAAGGACUGAGAUGGCUUAGUUUUUAAUAUUCCCAUUUGUGCUGUUGCUUUUUUUCAGAAGGUUUGAAAAUGCAAAUGUACAAAACCAAUUGCAGGCCUCUUUAUUUACUAAAAAAAUAUUGUCUACGGCUUCUGAAACCUGUGGUUCAAACCUUUGAUUUUUUUUUCUUUGAGCACUGCUGUUAUUUCAGGAGGGCAGGAGGGAUGGGGAUAGUGGAAUUCUGAGGAACAUUUUAGUUUUUUAAAACUUCCUCUUUUCAUUGAACAAGAAAUCUGGUAGAUAUACACUUGGAAAUUCUGUUGUUGGCAUUUCCAAUUCCUAACUAUUGAAAAUUUAAAUUUCAUGAAGAACAAUAAAAGACUGAAGAUUGCCAUUUUAA